GGAGGAGCCGAGGCGAAAGCGCAAAUCCAGGACUGCGAGAAGAGGCGGAGAGACGGAGCAAUUGACUAUUGCUAACAAGUUAUCGUUGAUUGGGAGGAGGCGCCUAGGGAAGGACGCAUGGAAGUCAGACCUCAGGAGGCCCUUCUGGAAAUGUAAUGGGGAGACCUGGAGCCAGGAAGGCAGGGGCGACUCUUCCCCAGAGAGAGUGAUGGGUGGAUAACCCAAAUUGCCGACGGUCUAUGUUCCUAACCUACAGAAGGGGAGGAUAUUGAGAGAAAAAUCCACCAAGGAUCUCUCCAGAAAAGAGGCAAUCCUGACUCCCUGGCUCCAUCACGGAACCCUUGGGAACACUUCUGAUGUGGAUGUGUCUGUCCAUGUGCCAUUUUACCCGAUCUGGAAGAACUUUACAAAUCCUCGUCCGAGAAGAUGAGAACAUUAGACCUUCUCGGAGGCAGGGGCUUGGUUCAAAUGACCUCUUUCGAGGUUCUUUCAUUAGGGAAUUGCGGAUGCUGGAAAUGAGUGCCAAUGACAGAGCUUAUACUUCCAUCCUUGCACUUAGUAGGCUUUUAAUAAAUGUUUGUCAAAUUAAAUUAAUGCCAAACUAUAGGUGUCUUUGCCAGGCUAAGGCUAAACUGGGCCUUAGGGGAUGAUCGCGUGUACCGAGUCCAGAGUAAGGGUUGGGGAGGGGCUAGAGUCUGGACUGGGUUCCUACUGCCCCUCCCCCGAGACCCCGAGCCUUUCCAGGGCUCCAACCACUUAGUCCCUGCACGGCCCGCCCCGCUCUCCACCAGCCCCAUUACGCUGUAUUUAUGCUUCGCUUUAUUGUUUUUUUUUUAUCUUCCUAUUAUUGUCUCACUCUGGGGGAGGCAAAGGAUAUAAUAUAUUCAUCUUUAUUAUCCCAAAUCUGUGUGAGGCAUUUAAUAAAACGCUGUUUCCGCACAGCCGGGGAUAUUAGCGAUAGCUAUUCCGGAACGACCGCGCCUAGGAACCACGAGGCAGACCAACCGACGGCUGCUGGCAUGGCCCGGAGACUCCUCGAGACAGCCUCGCCAGGAGAUCCAGGAACUCCCUUAGCUGGCCUACGCCUUUCUUCCAGUAGUCCGCUAGUCCCAGAGGACUGUGGGCGGAAGAGCGAGAUCCGGCAAGGGUCCCUAGCCUAUCCUAACCGGACACGUUCUCCGAAUUUGCUCGUCUGGGAUACCUCUAGACUCAGUGCUGACCAUGAGUUUCCCGGGGAGCCUAGAACUUCAAGCCCUAGAGCACAGAAUCUUGGGGGCGGUUGGGAGGGGGGCAAAGGUCUUACUGGCUAAAAUGGGGUUCUUCCCCAGUAUCGGCUCAGUGACUUAAGGUUCUGCUGCUUACCCAGGAGCCUUUUAUCCCUGCUCCUAAGUAAACGUUGUUGGCUUUUGUUUGUUUGUUUUUAGUUUUGGCUCCCAGGUAUCCUAAAGGGUCGCGAGAGCAUUUGGGUUUGAGCUUGAUCCUCAAGUCAGAACAUCCUGCUCUUUCCCCACUUUUCCUUCAAGGCGUUAGCGGACCCGGACCGAUGCCAGCCCGAGAAACCUGCUUUGUUAUUAUCCCUUACAUUGCAGAGCUAGCUCAUCCCCUGUCUCACAGUCAGUCCUCUCCAUUCAUCUGUCAGUCAUCCAGUCCAAUCCUCUUACGAGCAUCGGCCCUAUACUUUAUUUACAUAAGCUCACCAAAGGUUUAAGAAAAAGGAUCUUUUUUACUCACCUAGGUCUUGUGAGUCCUCAGCAUUCUCCUUUGAGGUUAUAGACAUGAUACUUCAGGGAAAAACUGUAUAUAAUUGCUUUAUGGAUCAUAAUUGUUUUUAUGAUAAAACAAACCCCAAGGAAGGGCAGAUGUGACUUGCCCUUCUCAGUGAUGUUCUUUCAAUUAGAGACAGAAGACAUCUAUUAAUUACCUACUAGUAUAAACCAGAGGCAGCCAGGGGAUAGAAGAUAGAAGAUUCAUUUUGAAGCCAAGGUGGCCUUCCUCCUACAUAAAUAUACUAGCUAUCUGCCUAUGGGCAAGCCAUUUAAUCCUCAGGCAACCUUUUAAGACUAUAAAGUCACAGAUAAGUUGUAGAUCUGCAUCAGUGAAAUGAGUUUAUACGCUGGGAAUUCCCCCAAAUUGGAAAAAAAAAUUCCCUAUUCCGCCAAAGCAAAACACCAUAUUUGUGUAAAGUAGUGUGGAAUAGAUUUUUUUUUUAAUAGUCCCCAUCUCCAGUGGAGCUCAAGAUCUAGUAGGGAGGGAUAAAAAAUUCAAUUGGACUGUAUGGGUAAACAACGUUUAAAUGAUUAUCUCUUGCUAGACAUUGUGCUAAAUUCUAGGGAUAGAAUUUAAAAGACAAAACCAAUCUCUAUCUUUAAGGAACUUGCAUUCUAAAUGGAUAAGCAACUUGUAUAUAAGUAGAAGUAUACCGUUGGAAAAUAAUGUUAGAGAAGAAAACAUUAGCAGCUGGGGGAAUCAGGAAGGAAAGACUUUUCUGCAGAAAUAUGCAAUAAUUAUACAAAAAUAAGCUGCAAAAUAGAAUAUGAUAAUAGUCUUACAAAGUCCUCUGAGAUUUGAGGAGAAUAGAUCAUUUCUGAUAGAGAUGUAUCAGGGCUUCAUAAAGGAGGUAACAUUUAAGAUAGUUCUGUGAAGGAUAGGUAAAGGAAUUUAAUAGAAACAGAGAUGGGGAAGGAAAGAGCAUUCCAGGUACAGAGAAGCAAACUGAAUAAAAGCAUUGGGAUGGUGGAGAGGAAAGUAGGACCUAUAGCAUUAUUAGUUAGUAGUCCACUUCAUCUGGAGAUUUACCUUGUUUGUCAAUAAACUAAAAUGCUUAAUCUUCCUCUCCCCCAAUUCCUGUAACACUGAAAGGAGAAGCUGAAUUCUCUUAGAUUCUAGAUUAAAGGCUAAAGGAGAGGAGAUCAAGAAGCAAUCUACUAGGGCCCUGGAGAGUCAAGUGAAAGUAGGAUAGGCUUUGGGGCUUCAUUCAGUACACUGAAAUGCCUAAGGUUAAAACUAAAUACUUGAUUGGCUCAACAUUCUCAUAGCCUUUUCCCGUUCCUCCUGAGCUCUCUCUUCCUUCUUCUCUUUUCUCACUUCCCCCAACCUGAAGGAGUCCCUCAUUUUAAUACUGGAGUCAUUCUCUGUAUUAAUUUUUUUUUAUUUUCUCAGUGAGACUCAAGGAAUGAUUGAUAACUUCACAUGUGUGAAAAGACUGUUAUCUAGAAGAAAUAAUCACCAUUCUGUGUGGGUCUCCAGGGAAGCCUAGUGGAUUUAAGUUACAAAGAGACAUAUUUUGAUUUAGUAUAAGGAAAGACUUCCUAAGAACCCAAAAGCUACCCAACAAUGGAAAGAGUUAGAAAGUAUUAAUAAGCUUUCUGCCAUUGGAAUUAUUCCAUCUCAGGGAAUACUACUUUAUCAGAGAUGUUGUAGGGGAAAUUCUGAAAUUCUAUCAUUUUAUACGACAAGGAUCAUCUCAGAUACUAUUAAACCUUUCAUUCAUUAUAUCAUA